rnacentral:rRNA from 1 species
GCGGUGUGGCACCACCUGAAUCCUUUCCGAACUCAGAAGUGAAACACACCAGCG